rnacentral:rRNA from 1 species
GGGUUGUGAGGUUAAGCGACUAAGCGUACACGGUGGAUGCCCUGGCAGUCAGAGGCGAUGAAGGACGUGCUAAUCUGCGAUAAGCGUCGGUAAGGUGAUAUGAACCGUUAUAACCGGCGAUUUCCGAAUGGGGAAACCCAGUGUGUUUCGACACACUAUCAUUAACUGAAUCCAUAGGUUAAUGAGGCGAACCGGGGGAACUGAAACAUCUAAGUACCCCGAGGAAAAGAAAUCAACCGAGAUUCCCCCAGUAGCGGCGAGCGAACGGGGAGCAGCCCAGAGCCUGAAUCAGUGUGUGUGUUAGUGGAAGCGUCUGGAAAGGCGCGCGAUACAGGGUGACAGCCCCGUACACAAAAAUGCACAUACUGUGAGCUCGAUGAGUAGGGCGGGACACGUGGUAUCCUGUCUGAAUAUGGGGGGACCAUCCUCCAAGGCUAAAUACUCCUGACUGACCGAUAGUGAACCAGUACCGUGAGGGAAAGGCGAAAAGAACCCCGGCGAGGGGAGUGAAAAAGAACCUGAAACCGUGUACGUACAAGCAGUGGGAGCACGCUUAGGCGUGUGACUGCGUACCUUUUGUAUAAUGGGUCAGCGACUUAUAUUCUGUAGCAAGGUUAACCGAAUAGGGGAGCCGAAGGGAAACCGAGUCUUAACUGGGCGUUAAGUUGCAGGGUAUAGACCCGAAACCCGGUGAUCUAGCCAUGGGCAGGUUGAAGGUUGGGUAACACUAACUGGAGGACCGAACCGACUAAUGUUGAAAAAUUAGCGGAUGACUUGUGGCUGGGGGUGAAAGGCCAAUCAAACCGGGAGAUAGCUGGUUCUCCCCGAAAGCUAUUUAGGUAGCGCCUCGUGAAUUCAUCUCCGGGGGUAGAGCACUGUUUCGGCAAGGGGGUCAUCCCGACUUACCAACCCGAUGCAAACUGCGAAUACCGGAGAAUGUUAUCACGGGAGACACACGGCGGGUGCUAACGUCCGUCGUGAAGAGGGAAACAACCCAGACCGCCAGCUAAGGUCCCAAAGUCAUGGUUAAGUGGGAAACGAUGUGGGAAGGCCCAGACAGCCAGGAUGUUGGCUUAGAAGCAGCCAUCAUUUAAAGAAAGCGUAAUAGCUCACUGGUCGAGUCGGCCUGCGCGGAAGAUGUAACGGGGCUAAACCAUGCACCGAAGCUGCGGCAGCGACGCUGAUGCGUUGUUGGGUAGGGGAGCGUUCUGUAAGCCUGCGAAGGUGUGCUGUGAGGCAUGCUGGAGGUAUCAGAAGUGCGAAUGCUGACAUAAGUAACGAUAAAGCGGGUGAAAAGCCCGCUCGCCGGAAGACCAAGGGUUCCUGUCCAACGUUAAUCGGGGCAGGGUGAGUCGACCCCUAAGGCGAGGCCGAAAGGCGUAGUCGAUGGGAAACAGGUUAAUAUUCCUGUACUUGGUGUUACUGCGAAGGGGGGACGGAGAAGGCUAUGUUGGCCGGGCGACGGUUGUCCCGGUUUAAGCGUGUAGGCUGGUUUUCCAGGCAAAUCCGGAAAAUCAAGGCUGAGGCGUGAUGACGAGGCACUACGGUGCUGAAGCAACAAAUGCCCUGCUUCCAGGAAAAGCCUCUAAGCAUCAGGUAACAUCAAAUCGUACCCCAAACCGACACAGGUGGUCAGGUAGAGAAUACCAAGGCGCUUGAGAGAACUCGGGUGAAGGAACUAGGCAAAAUGGUGCCGUAACUUCGGGAGAAGGCACGCUGAUAUGUAGGUGAAGUCCCUCGCGGAUGGAGCUGAAAUCAGUCGAAGAUACCAGCUGGCUGCAACUGUUUAUUAAAAACACAGCACUGUGCAAACACGAAAGUGGACGUAUACGGUGUGACGCCUGCCCGGUGCCGGAAGGUUAAUUGAUGGGGUUAGCGCAAGCGAAGCUCUUGAUCGAAGCCCCGGUAAACGGCGGCCGUAACUAUAACGGUCCUAAGGUAGCGAAAUUCCUUGUCGGGUAAGUUCCGACCUGCACGAAUGGCGUAAUGAUGGCCAGGCUGUCUCCACCCGAGACUCAGUGAAAUUGAACUCGCUGUGAAGAUGCAGUGUACCCGCGGCAAGACGGAAAGACCCCGUGAACCUUUACUAUAGCUUGACACUGAACAUUGAGCCUUGAUGUGUAGGAUAGGUGGGAGGCUUUGAAGUGUGGACGCCAGUCUGCAUGGAGCCGACCUUGAAAUACCACCCUUUAAUGUUUGAUGUUCUAACGUUGACCCGUAAUCCGGGUUGCGGACAGUGUCUGGUGGGUAGUUUGACUGGGGCGGUCUCCUCCUAAAGAGUAACGGAGGAGCACGAAGGUUGGCUAAUCCUGGUCGGACAUCAGGAGGUUAGUGCAAUGGCAUAAGCCAGCUUGACUGCGAGCGUGACGGCGCGAGCAGGUGCGAAAGCAGGUCAUAGUGAUCCGGUGGUUCUGAAUGGAAGGGCCAUCGCUCAACGGAUAAAAGGUACUCCGGGGAUAACAGGCUGAUACCGCCCAAGAGUUCAUAUCGACGGCGGUGUUUGGCACCUCGAUGUCGGCUCAUCACAUCCUGGGGCUGAAGUAGGUCCCAAGGGUAUGGCUGUUCGCCAUUUAAAGUGGUACGCGAGCUGGGUUUAGAACGUCGUGAGACAGUUCGGUCCCUAUCUGCCGUGGGCGCUGGAGAACUGAGGGGGGCUGCUCCUAGUACGAGAGGACCGGAGUGGACGCAUCACUGGUGUUCGGGUUGUCAUGCCAAUGGCACUGCCCGGUAGCUAAAUGCGGAAGAGAUAAGUGCUGAAAGCAUCUAAGCACGAAACUUGCCCCGAGAUGAGUUCUCCCUGACCCUUUAAGGGUCCUGAAGGAACGUUGAAGACGACGACGUUGAUAGGCCGGGUGUGUAAGCGCAGCGAUGCGUUGAGCUAACCGGUACUAAUGAACCGUGAGGCUUAACCUUACAACGCCGAAGCUGUU